rnacentral:rRNA from 1 species
GUAGGGAAUAUUGCACAAUGGGGGAAACCCUGAUGCAGCGACGCCGCGUGAGUGAUGAAGGCCUUCGGGUCGUAAAGCUCUGUCGUAUGGGACUAACAAAAUGAAGGUACCAUGCAAGAAAGGAUCGGCUAACUUCGUGCCAGCAGCCGCGGUAAGACGAGGGAUCCUAGCGUUGUUCGGAAUUAUUGGGCGUAAAGCGGGUGUAGGCGGGCCUGUCAGUCAGGUGUGAAAUCCCAGGGCUUAACCCUGGAAGUGCACUUGAUACUGCAGGUCUUGAGUGUGGUAGAGGCUAUUAGAAUUCUUGGUGUAGUGGUGAAAUACGUAGAUAUCAAGAGGAAUACCGGAGGCGAAGGCGGAUAGCUGGGCCAACACUGACGCUGAGACCCGAAAGCGUGGGGAUCAAACAGGAUUAGAUACCCGGGUAGUCC